rnacentral:lncRNA from 1 species
CGGAUUCACCACAAGAAUCUUGUCUCCAUGAUUGGUUACUGCAAUGACGGGGAGUACAUGGCACUUGUCUACGAGUACAUGUCAGAAGGGACCCUGCAAGAACAUAUUGAAGGUACAGAGGUUCUCAGUCAUAUGUUUUACAUUUUAAUGUCUUAGGUAUAGCUUAAACGGAGAAAUAUCGCAAUCUAAUUGUAGGAAGAAAAAGCAUCAAGGGAUCUUUACCCUGGAGACAGAGACUCCGAAUUGCACUUGAAUCUGCACAAGGUGCACACUUCAAUAUUUUGAGUUUGUUGUUCCUGAAAUUUUCAUGUUUCCAGAAACUUGGGCAUUAGCUGGUAUGUUGAUG